GCUGCUAAUGGUGUUGUAAUUGCAACUGAGAAGAAAUUGCCAUCCAUCUUGGUUGAUGAAGCAUCUGUAAGUUUAUCUCUUUAGAAUCAGCCUUCAUAGCCUGCUCAUGACUGAUUGUACUUGUGUUUGCAUCCCUCGGUGCUUCAUCUAGAUUGCAUGAAUUGUAGUUUAUUGGAUUUAUUUCUAAAUUUUAGUAGUCACUCAAUGAGAAUUUGCUUAGAUAUUAAAGUUCUAUGUAUUUUCUUAGUAGUGUUUUCUGCUCAUGACUGAUUGUACUCGUGUUUGCAUCCCUGGGUGCUUCGUCUAGAUUGCAUGAAUUGUAGUUUUUUGGAUUUAUUUCUAAAUUUCAGUAGUCAGUCAAUGAGAAUUUGCUUAGAUAUUAAAGUUCUAUGUUUGACAAGAGGGUUUGCUCUGAUGGUAAGCAACCUCCACUUCCAAUCAGGAGGUUGUGAGUUCGAGUCUCCCCAAGAGCAAGGUGGAAAGUUCUUGGAGGGAAGAAUGCCGAGGUCUAUUUGGAAAUAGUCUCUCUACUCCAGGGUAGAGGUAAGGUAUGCGUACACACUACACUCCCUAGACCCCACUAAGUGGGAUUAUAAUGGGUUGUUGUUUAUUAAAGUUCUAUGUAUUUUCUUAGUAGCGUUUAAUUUAGUGCUCUAGAGGGUAAUUUUCCAAAUGUAUUCAAAAGACGAUCGCCAGGCAAUGUAUCAACAAGUACAUUUAGUGUCGUGGUCUCUGUCUUAAGUACUUCUCUUCUGUGCUGCAGAACUGUGGAAUAGUGGAGUUUAUUCUUCCUACUUUAUUGGUCCUCUAUUAGCGCUAAGCUUCAUGACUACUGGUGUAUUUUGGAAUACAUGGGAAUUUCAAUAGGUUUCUUGCUUUUUGCUGUGAUUCCUUAACACUUGAUAUAUAUUGCAUAUCUAUGUAAUUGCAGU
rnacentral:lncRNA from 1 species